AAGAUUUUACUAUCCGGAUUCGGAUCCGGACACCCCGGAUAUCCUAUUUUCGGAGCGGAUCCGGAACGGAUCUCGGAUCGAAUCCGGAUCUCGGAUAAUAAGUCUCAGGCCUAGGCAACACACAUAUUUAAGUGAAACAAAAAAUAUUUUAUUUUCUGAAAAUCAAAAGAGGAAUAACAGUCAAAGUAAUAAAAAAAAAUCAAUGAUAACAUUGGACUGUUGUAGGUGGACGAGGUAACCAUAGCCAUAUGUCGUGGUGGUUGCGGUGUGAUAAAACUAUUUUUUAAAUAUUUAUAAUAGUGUAUAAUCGUUUUAUUUUUUCGUAAUUUUAAAUAUUUAUAAAAAUUAUUUCCCAUUUAUAAAGGCCAAGAUAUGUCAAACAUGACCAAGAAGUUAGAUUGGAAGUUGAAUGUGUCUUAACUUGCCAAUUCUUUCUUUUGCAAAAGAUCUCACCUUAAAUCCUUUCCAGAUUAGAAUUAUUAUUCCUUUAUAUAUUUUCUAAGGUCAACAAUUUCUUUUUUUUUUGUUAAUGUUUCUUUUUACAACUUUUUGGUUAAUGUUAAGAUUUCAGGUCAACUACUCACAUAUAUAUAGGCAUGCAUUUAACAUCUAAAACUUAUAACAUCAAAACUUAUACCAUUCAAAGAAUAGCUAUGUCAAAGUUUCAACUUGCUGCCCUUGUCAUCUCAUGUUUUCUCCUGUAUGCUUCUCAAUCAAAGGUGAUAGCAUUGAACUUGAACACAAAACAAAUCGGAUAUGAAGACGAGUGUAUCUACAGAGGCUCGUGCAGGUUCAGCUACGAAUGUAAGAGUCGAUGUGGACCGCCUGAGUUCCCACAUGGAACUCUUGGUUUAUGCAUGCUCAGUCCAGAUGGUUCUGAAUAUCUUUGUUGUUGUACUCCCUAUACUAAACAUUAGUUGUAACUUUGGUUGGAUUAUUAUCAUAUAAAAUUUAAAGGAAAAAUGAAUUGAAAAACAUAAACUCUUUAUAAAUAAUACCUAGCAAUUUCUGAAUA